GAGCGUAGGCGGCCUGGUAAGUGGGAAGUGAAAUCCUUCGGCUCAACCGAAGGCCUGCUUUCCAAACUGCUUGGCUUGAGUCCGGGAGGGGAGACGGGAAUUCCUGGUGUAGCGGUGAAAUGCGCAGAUAUCAGGAGGAACACCGGUGGCGAAGGCGCGUCUCUGGACCGGUACUGACGCUGAGGCUCGAAAGCGUGGGGAGCAAACA
rnacentral:rRNA from 1 species